rnacentral:rRNA from 1 species
CAGUCGCCACGGGAAUACGAAGGGUGCAAGCGUUAAUCGGAAUUACUGGGCGUAAAGCGUGCGUAGGCGGUGAGUUAAGUCUGCUGUGAAAUCCCCGGGCUCAACCUGGGAAUGGCAGUGGAUACUGGCUUGCUAGAGUGUGUCAGAGGAUGGUGGAAUUCCCGGUGUAACGGUGAAAUGCGUAGAGAUCGGGAGGAACAUCAGUGGCGAAGGCGGCCAUCUGGGACAACACUGACGCUGAGGCACGAAAGCGUGGGGAGCAAACAGGAUUAGAUACCCCCGUAGUCCCUGUCUCUUAUAC